rnacentral:rRNA from 1 species
AGUCACUGACAUUAGAUACCCGCGUAGUCCAGGGUGUAAACGCUGCAGACUUGGUGUUGGAAGCCCUUUGGGGCAUUCAGUGCCGGAGAGAAGUUGUUAAGUCUGCUACUUGGGGAGUACGUCCGCAAGGAUGAAACUUAAAGGAAUUGGCGGGGAGCACCGCAACGGGAGGAGCGUGCGGUUUAAUUGGAUUCAACACCGUAAACUCACCAGGGAAGACUGUUACAUGAAGGCCGAGAUGAAGACUCUGCCAGAUUUUCAG